rnacentral:rRNA from 1 species
AAUAUUGGACAAGGGGGGCAACCCUGAUCCAGCCAUGCCGCGUGUGUGAAGAAGGUCUUUGGGUUGUAAAGCACUGUAUGUUGGGAGGAAGGGCUUUAGGUUAUUACCCUGAAGUUUUGACGUUACCACUACAAUAAGCACCGGCCAACUCUGUGCCAGCAGCCGCGGUAAUACAGAGGGUGCAAGCGUUAAGCGUAAUUACUGGGCGUAAAGCGCGCGUAGGUAGUUCAGUAAGAAGGGUGAGAAAUCCCCGGGCUUAACCUGGGAAGUACUUUCAUCACUGCUGAGCUAGAGUACGGUAGAGGGUAGUGGAAUUUCCUGUGUAGCGGUGAAAUGCAUAGAUAUAGGAAGGAACACCAGGGGAGAAGGCGACUACCUGGACUGAUACUGACACAGGGGUGCGAGAGCGUGGGGAGCAAAC